UCAUGUGUUUACGCGGAACGCGCAUAAACUGACCGCGUUUGGCCUGUUAUCAUCCGUCCGCGGCGUCGUCGUCUCGAAUCUGGACACUCCCCGACAUCAUCAGCAUCAUCAUCAUCAUCAUCAUCAUCCACAUUUCACUAG
ensembl:ncRNA T27A10.9 ncRNA